rfam:Anaeromyxobacter dehalogenans 2CP-C, complete genome.
GGCCCUCUGGCGGAAUGGUAGACGCGCUCGACUCAAAAUCGAGCGGGGCGACCCCCCGUCCCGGUUCGAGUCCGGGGAGGGCCA